CAAUACUGAAAAAUGUUCAUUUUGCUCACUUUCCUCUGUUUUUCCCGUUUUGCAAAAUGCAGCUCUUUGCGGGCAGCUUCGAGGUGGUUUUCCACACCAGCAAAACCUGGGUUAGUGGACAAUAGGAGCAGAAUUCGUCUUGCUGAACACCACAACCCAUGGAUGUCGGCCUGAAUGCGCCCUCCACCAGUUUUUUCCUCCAGACCCAUCAAAUGGACAGCUCUCAAGACGGACCUCUUGGAAGACGAUGAGCGAUUGCAAACCAGAAAGAACUGGAUGGCGACUGUCACACCCUGCUUGAUUUGCAUGUCAUUUGGACCUCUGAGGUCAGACCUACCGUAUAAGGCCUCUAUGUGUCUCGCAGAGGGAAGAGAGAUCGUCUUCAAGAUGGGUUUCUGGAAUGGCGAUGACCGAUUAGAGCAAUUGAGAGCUGGAUGAUGACUUCCCCCGUUGGAUUUGCCCUCCCUCUGGAACUUUGGUGGUAAGUCUCCAAAAUCACAACACUGGAAAAUGUUCAUUUUGCUCACUUUCCUCUGUUUUUCCCGUUUUCCAAAAUGCAGCUCUUUGCGGUCAGCUUCGAGGUGGUUUUCCAUAUC